rnacentral:lncRNA from 1 species
GGUCUAAUUGCAAAAUAUAGGUGCCCAGGCUCCCCUCUCUGCCCCUGGGCUGAACUGCCUCUCCAAGGAAGGGGCGGGGUUUGCCCUUACUCAGCCCUCACGUUCACUCUUACUCCUUCCCUUUUUCUUUGAAGGGAAUGCUGUACAGCGGGAAAGAAGUUGCUCCAAAGGAAGAACAUUGAUUCAGGGCGAAAAGUAGCCUCUCCUUCCAUCCCAGGCGCCAUCAUAAAUGCUCACGAGUUCCAACAGAGCGGCUGGAGCAGGAGCCGGUGGAGACGGAACCAGGAGCUUGGCCAAGGGAAGCUCGUUUCUGGCAAAUCUCCCGCCCUUCGCAAACAAUUUUCUUUGGACGCCUUUCUUUCCUUCCUGUUCCCUAACCCCUAUUUAAACCUGAAGGUGCCCCAUGCCUUCACAGCUCUAGCCGUAUGUGAGCAGGACUAGGCUGAGUGGGGCAAGAAGCACAGAACCAGAUCUGUCAUCCUACGUCACCACCUGCGAGCUGCUUUGUGGCUUAUGGAGCCGGUCUUGGGAUGAUUGUUUCCAGAAGAGCAUUCUGUCUAGUACCUACGUCCCUGUCCAAAGAAAAGAGAGCUGCAGAUCUACAGCAGUCAUUGAUAUGUUUCGUAAAAUGAGCGAGUCCUUCCUGUAACAGUCUUUAGUUCCAGCACUGCCUGUGGACUUGGCUGCAGGUGCUCUAUUAAAAAGCCGCCUCGCCCGGCAUGGUGGCGCACGCCUUUAAUCCCAGCACUUGGGAGGCAGAGGCAGGCGAAUUUCUGAGUUUGAGGCCAGCCUGGUCUACAGAGUGAGUUCCAGGACAGCCCGGACUGCACAGAGAAACCCUGUCUCGGAAAAAAAAAAAAAGCCAUCUCAGUGGACAGUUGUGGGGUGGCUUCCCAGAACUGCCUUUCUCUUUGGCAAAAUGUUCCUUGAAAUUAUUGGCAUUCUUGUUUCACAGUGUGCAUGUGCCUCCACACUGGAGGGAUAUGUGCGUGACCUACAGUGAGCUGGUGGUAGGAAUCUCUUGUCACAGAGAUCUUCCCAGUAACCCCAGUAACGUCGUAUGGUGUAAGCCAGACUACUAGAAAUUCACAAGCAAGGCAUGUCACACCAAAGCUAAUGGAACAGUGUCUUUCCAUUAUGAUGGGUAAGCUGAAAGAAUCUGAACCUUCUGACAGAUGUGGUGUGUGUACUUUAACUAAAUAAAAUCACCUCAAGAUACAUAAAAGAGAAAAAAAAGGGAGAGUAAAUAUAUAUACUCACAUAUAUAUACAUAUAUUUGGAGAGAGAGAAGAGAGAGAGAAUGUUAAUGUGUGGGAGCUGGAGAGAGACCCCAGCCCUGAGGGACACCAUUCCUUCAGAAAACCUGGGUUCAAUUCCCAGCCCUCACAUGGAAACUCACAACCAUCUAAACUUCAGUUGCAGGGAAUCUGGUCCCUCUGCUGACCUUAGCAGUGCCCAGGCAUGCACAUGGGACUCACACACACACACACGGAAGAAAAAACUCAUAAAAUAAAAGACAUAAGUCUAAUUUAAAAAAAAAAAAGUUUAUGUGUGUUUCAGGUGUGUGUAGAGUACACACAUGUGAGUGUGGACACAAACACAUAAUUCUGAAUGUAGAGGCCAGAGGUCAACAUUAGGUUUUUCCCCUGGAUUGCUGUGCACCUUAUUUUUCCAGAUAGGGUCGCCCACUGAACCUGGAGUUCUGUGAGUCAGCUAGACCAGCCAACGGGAAGGAUCAGUCGCCCCUGGCCCUCCCAGCUCUACAUCACAGCCACACCCUAGCCAACGGGAAGGAUCAGUCGCCCCUGGCCCUCCCAGCUCUGGAGUUAUAGGUACACAUCACAGCCACACCCAGCUUACGUGAGUGGUGUGGAUCUGACUUCAGGUCCUGUGUGUGCAUGGCAGGCAUUUUAAGGACAGAGUCACCACCUCACUCCUCAGCCUCAGUCCUUUUCUUUUACGAAGUAUUAUAGAUGACAUUUUGAUAUUUAUUGUUUUGCAGUGCUGACAAUCAAAUCCAGGAUUUCAGGGUUAUACUUUAGUGAGUGAGCUUCAGCCCCACUGAAAACUUUAAUAUUGUGACCACACACACACACACCUUGUUUCCUAACACAUGAUGAGCAGACCUUCCAUAUAGCAUAGGCAACCCCAGCUUAAUCAAUAGCAGGUCCCUCCUCCAGUAUCAGAAAUGUCCCAGGUGGGUGAUACAUUACUGAUCAUUAUUUGUAUUUCGAUGUGACUAUAAUAAAAACAAUAAAAUCAGUU